GAGAGUAUAGUUCAGUGGUAGAGUGCAUGCUUAGCAUCACGAGGUCCUGGGUUCAAUCCCCAGUACCCCCA
rnacentral:tRNA from 1 species